GACGAACGCUGGCGGCGUGCUUAACACAUGCAAGUCGAACGGAAAGGCCCUGCUUUUGUGGGGUGCUCGAGUGGCGAACGGGUGAGUAACACGUGAGUAACCUGCCCUUGACUUUGGGAUAACUUCAGGAAACUGGGGCUAAUACCGGAUAGGAGCUCCUGCUGCAUGGUGGGGGUUGGAAAGUUUCGGCGGUUGGGGAUGGACUCGCGGCUUAUCAGCUUGUUGGUGGGGUAGUGGCUUACCAAGGCUUUGACGGGUAGCCGGCCUGAGAGGGUGACCGGCGGCGGUGGGGCGUAGAUGCGGCCGAGGGUGCGAGGGGAGGAGUGGGGGGGGAAGAGGGCAAGAGGGGGGGAGGCCUGAGGCAGCAAGGCGGCGGGGGGGGGGAGGGGGGUGGGGGUGUCAUCCGCUGUCGCUGGGGACGAGGCGGGGGGGGAGGAGAGGGAGAAAGAAGCCCGGGGUAAAUACGUGCCAGCAGCCGGAGUAAUAAGGGGAAGAGAACAUGGAUGACC
rnacentral:rRNA from 1 species